rnacentral:rRNA from 1 species
CGUCUAGAAGCAAACAGAUGGAGCUGCAAUGCAGCACCUAGGAUUCAAUCCAGUGGCAAUAACCGUUUCAUUCCUGAUCGCAUGACAGGCUUGAGGUUGCUUGAAUUGCUGCCGGGUGCACUUCCUAUGUGUGAGCGCUGCGACCAGUUACUGCGUCGCCAAAGCCAGUGAACUGCCGGCUGUUUCUUUCGGGAAGCAGAGUCCCAUUUGCUGUGCUUGGUUGGUUGUGGUGACUGUGGACCGAACGCAACCGCUUGUCGCAUUCUGCGUUGCACCUUUUGAGAUCGAAAUUCUGGGCCCUGCUUGCAGGACCUGGUACCCCUCUUUCUAGAUGUAGCGUUGCUUUGCGUUGUUGCGCAGGGUCGGCGGCGUCCGUGUCAGCCACCCAUCUGACCCGUCUUGAAACACGGACCAAGGAGUCUAACAUGUACGCAAGUCACUGACUUACACAGUCAAAGGCGCAAUGAAAGUAAAGGCCACUUGUGGUUAAAGUGGGAUCCUCGUACUGUACGAGGCGCACCACUGCCCCGUUCUAUAUGCUUCGUCAUUGGGGCGGAGGAAGAGCGCACAUGUUGGGACCCGAAAGAUGGUGAACUAUGCCUGAGCAAGGCGAAGUCAGGAGAAAUCCUGAUGGAGGCCUGUAGCGGUUCUGACGUGCAAAUCG